UACGUAGGUGGCGAGCGUUAUCCGGAAUUAUUGGGCGUAAAGCGCGCGCAGGCGGUUCCUUAAGUCUGAUGUGAAAGCCCACGGCUCAACCGUGGAGGGUCAUUUGGAAACUGGGGAACUUGAGUGCAGAAGAGAAGAGCGGAAUUCCACGUGUAGCGGUGAAAUGCGUAGAGAAUGUGGAGGAACACCAGUGGCGAAGGCGGCUCUUUGGUCUGUAACUGACGCUGAGGCGCGAAAGCGUGGGGAGCAAACAGG
rnacentral:rRNA from 1 species